ensembl:lncRNA
AGCAGAUUCAUUUAGAGUUUUUCAUUUCAACUUUUACCUUCAGUGAUUUAGAAAUGUACGGAGUGUUUUCUGCUUCUCCACUUUUAGGACUUAAGAAGCUCUACUUAGAGAUCAAAGAGGUGGACUACACUAAUAAGCAGGAGGAGAGGAGAUAGGAAAUGAAUAAUUAAGAUGGAUUUAUCAGAAACAAGGAGAUCAUAUUGAAAUGUAUUCCUGGAGCACCGGGGCUUCACUGACCUCUCUGCUGUGGCUGGAGUCAAUGGUGAUUUCGCAUCACAGCACACCAAGAUGGAAAGUAAACACCUGGGAACUUUUCAGCUCAACAUAUUUGCGGCCCUGAGACUGCCAAGAUUCUUCACUGUGAAAGUUCUCCAAGGAUUAGCCUAUUCCUGUUCUCCCUGUUCCACACAUAAAUAUUAAUUACCCCUAAAUACAGCCCAUUUACUAGCAUCAGUCAUGAAAAAUUUAAAAUGCCAAGCGAGUGUGAGAGAAACUUGACUGUAAAUAAUUGUUACAUUGUUCUGUUUGUUCUCAGCAUUGGUAGUUAGGAGUUUGUG